UUUUCCAGUUGCAAAAGUAGAUUCUCCCCCCUUCCCCACGCCUCUAAAAAUCACAAAGGCUUUGAUGGCACUUGAGAAAUGACGCAAAAUCAUCCUAUGAACUUAAGACGAGAUCAUGUAGAAGGACCCUGAAGACAUGAAGACACUGGUUUCAGUUGACACUGCUGGAGGCAAUGAGGAAGGGCGGUCGUGGAAUUGCUGAGUGGAGCCCAACCAUGACACUAACCGAAGGACCAUGUGCAGUGUGCUCAAGAACAAAUACAUACAAAUUUGGAAAGGUAUGCUGACGUGACAGGCCCUGCAAAUGUCAGUCAGGCUAGAGAUGGAGAUGCUGGGGUCUGUAGACUCUGAUGCAGAUAUUCG
rnacentral:lncRNA from 1 species